rfam:Peptococcaceae bacterium CEB3 CEB3_contig000005, whole genome shotgun sequence.
CAGGUCUAAGAACGAAAGACCCAAGAGAAUAGCAUGAAUCCGACUUCCGAUGUCCGACAUCUGACUUCUGAAUCGGAGCUAGCCGUCGAAGGUGGGGCCGAUGAUUGGGGUGAAGUCGUAACAAGGUAGCCGUAUCGGAAGGUGCGGCUGGAUCACCUCCUUU